UACGUAGGGUGCGAGCGUUGUCCGGAAUUAUUGGGCGUAAAGGGCUCGUAGGCGGUUUGUCGCGUCGGGAAGUGAAAACUCAGGGCUCAACCCUGAGCGUGCUUCCGAUACGGGCAGACUAGAGGUAUGCAGGGGAGAACGGAAUUCCUGGUGUAGCGGUGGAAAUGCGCAGAUAUCAGGAGGAACACCGGUGGCGAAGGCGGUUCUCUGGGCAUUACCUGACGCUGAGGGGCGAAAGCAUGGGGAGCGAACAGG
rnacentral:rRNA from 1 species